UACGUAGGGGGCUAGCGUUGUCCGGAAUCAUUGGGCGUAAAGAGCGUGUAGGCGGUCCGGUAAGUCCGCUGUGAAAGUCGGGGGCUCAACCCUCGAAUGCCGGUGGAUACUGUCGGGCUAGAGUGCGGAAGGGGCGAGUGGAAUUCCUGGUGUAGCGGUGAAAUGCGCAGAUAUCAGGAGGAACACCGGUGGCGAAGGCGGGUCUCUGGGACGGUACUGACGCUGAGACGCGAAAGCGUGGGGAGCGAACAGG
rnacentral:rRNA from 1 species